CGUAUGGUGCAAGCGUUAUCCGGAUUUACUGGGUGUAAAGGGAGCGCAGGCGGUGCGGCAAGUCUGAUGUGAAGCCCGGGCUCAACCCCGGUACUGCAUUGGAAACUGUCGUACUAGAGUGUCGGAGGGGUAAGCGGAAUUCCUAGUGUGGCGGUGAAAUGCGUAGAUAUUAGGAGGAACACCAGUGGCGAAGGCGGCUUACUGGACGAUAACUGACGCUGAGGCUCGAAAGCGUGGGGAGCAAACAGGAUU
rnacentral:rRNA from 1 species